AGCUACUAAGAGCGAAUGGUGGAUGCCUUGACUGGUAAAGGCGAUGAAGGACGUACUAGACUGCGAUAAGCUACGGGGAGCUGUCAAGAAGCUUUGAUCCGUAGAUUUCCGAAUGGGGCAACCCAAUGUAUAGAGAUAUACAUUACCUAUAUAGGAGCGAACGAGGGGAAUUGAAACAUCUUAGUACCCUCAGGAAAAGAAAUCAAUAGAGAUUGCGUCAGUAGCGGCGAGCGAAAGCGCAAGAGGGCAAACCCAGUGCUUGCACUGGGGGUUGUAGGACUGCAAUGUGCAAGAGGUGAGUUUAGCAGAACAUUCUGGAAAGUAUAGCCAUAGAGGGUGAUAGUCCCGUAUGCGAAAAACAAACCUUAGCUAGCAGUAUCCUGAGUAGGGCGGGACACGAGAAAUCCUGUCUGAAGCUGGGUCGACCACGAUCCAACCCUAAAUACUAAUACCAGAUCGAUAGUGCACAAGUACCGUGAGGGAAAGGUGAAAAGAACUGAGGUGAUCAGAGUGAAAUAGAACCUGAAACCAUUUGCUUACAAUCAUUCAGAGCCCUAUGUAGCAAUACAGGGUGAUGGACUGCCUUUUGCAUAAUGAGCCUGCGAGUUGUGGUGUCUGGCAAGGUUAAGCAAACGCGAAGCCGUAGCGAAAGCGAGUCUGAAUAGGGCGCUUAGUCAGAUGCUGCAGACCCGAAACGAAGUGAUCUAUCCAUGAGCAAGUUGAAGCUAGUGUAAGAACUAGUGGAGGACUGAACCCAUAGGCGUUGAAAAGCCCCGGGAUGACUUGUGGAUAGGGGUGAAAGGCCAAUCAAACUUCGUGAUAGCUGGUUCUCUCCGAAAUAUAUUUAGGUAUAGCGUUGUGUCGUAAUAUAAGGGGGUAGAGCACUGAAUGGGCUAGGGCAUACACCAAUGUACCAAACCCUAUCAAACUCCGAAUACCUUAUAUGUAAUCACAGCAGUCAGGCGGCGAGUGAUAAAAUCCGUCGUCAAGAGGGAAACAACCCAGACUACCAGCUAAGGUCCCUAAAUCUUACUUAAGUGGAAAACGAUGUGAAGUUACUUAAACAACCAGGAGGUUGGCUUAGAAGCAGCCAUCCUUUAAAGAAAGCGUAAUAGCUCACUGGUCUAGUGAUUUUGCGCGGAAAAUAUAACGGGGCUAAAGUAAGUACCGAAGCUGUAGACUUGCGCACAACUUAGAUUAUUUAAGUUUAGAAUAUGAGAAACUAAGUUAUAUGUUUAGUUAUAUUUUUACUGAUUUUUAUAGAGUAAAGAUAGAAAUAAAACUUAGUAAAAUCAGUAAAAAUAUUCUUAGACUAAAGUUAAGUAGUUUAAGUUGUGUGCAAGUGGUAGGAGAGCGUUCUAUUUGCGUCGAAGGUAUACCGGUAAGGAGUGCUGGAGCGAAUAGAAGUGAGCAUGCAGGCAUGAGUAGCGAUAAUUAAUGUGAGAAUCAUUAACGCCGUAAACCCAAGGUUUCCUACGCGAUGCUCGUCAUCGUAGGGUUAGUCGGGUCCUAAGUCGAGUCCGAAAGGGGUAGACGAUGGCAAAUUGGUUAAUAUUCCAAUACCAACAUUAGUGUGCGAUGGAAGGACGCUUAGGGCUAAGGGGGCUAGCGGAUGGAAGUGCUAGUCUAAGGUCGUAGGAGGUUAUACAGGCAAAUCCGUAUAACAAUACUCCGAGAACUGAAAGGCUUUUUGAAGUCUUCGGAUGGAUAGAAGAACCCCUGAUGCCAUCGAGCCAAGAAAAGUUUCUAAGUUUAGCUAAUGUUGCCCGUACCGUAAACCGACACAGGUGGGUGGGAUGAGUAUUCUAAGGCGCGUGGAAGAACUCUCUUUAAGGAACUCUGCAAAAUAGCACCGUAUCUUCGGUAUAAGGUGUGGUUCGCUUCGUAUUAGGAUUUACUCCGAAAGCGAAGAAACUUACAACAAAGAGUCCCUCCCGACUGUUUACCAAAAACACAGCACUCUGCUAACUCGUAAGAGGAUGUAUAGGGUGUGACGCCUGCCCGGUGCUCGAAGGUUAAUUGAUGGGGUUAGCAUUAGCGAAGCUCUUGAUCGAAGCCCGAGUAAACGGCGGCCGUAACUAUAACGGUCCUAAGGUAGCGAAAUUCCUUGUCGGUUAAAUACCGACCUGCAUGAAUGGCGUAACGAGAUGGGAGCUGUCUCAAAGAGGGAUCCAGUGAAAUUGUAGUGGAGGUGAAAAUUCCUCCUACCCGCGGCAAGACGGAAAGACCCCGUGGACCUUUACUACAGCUUGACACUGCUAUUUGGAUAAGAAUGUGCAGGAUAGGUGGGAGGCUUUGAGUAUAUGACGCCAGUUGUAUAUGAGCCAUUGUUGAGAUACCACUCUUUCUUAUUUGGGUAGCUAACCAGCUUGAGUUAUCCUCAAGUGGGACAAUGUCUGGUGGGUAGUUUGACUGGGGCGGUCGCCUCCCAAAUAAUAACGGAGGCUUACAAAGGUUGGCUCAGAACGGUUGGAAAUCGUUCGUAGAGUAUAAAGGUAUAAGCCAGCUUAACUGCAAGACAUACAAGUCAAGCAGAGACGAAAGUCGGUCUUAGUGAUCCGGUGGUUCUGUGUGGAAGGGCCAUCGCUCAAAGGAUAAAAGGUACCCCGGGGAUAACAGGCUGAUCUCCCCCAAGAGCUCACAUCGACGGGGAGGUUUGGCACCUCGAUGUCGGCUCAUCGCAUCCUGGGGCUGGAGCAGGUCCCAAGGGUAUGGCUGUUCGCCAUUUAAAGCGGUACGCGAGCUGGGUUCAGAACGUCGUGAGACAGUUCGGUCCCUAUCUGCCGUGGGCGUAAGAAGAUUGAAGAGAUUU
rnacentral:rRNA from 1 species